GGCCUGCGGACCCGGGAGCGCGCGGCUGCGCUGCACGUGCAGGGACCCGGCGGCGCCGGGGUCAGCGCGAGCGUUUGAUGUGCGGCGGGGAGCGGGCCGGGCCCCGGGAGGCCGCUUCGCACCUCCCCGUGUGUCCGGGUUGAGCGCGAGGUCAGGAGGCGACGCGGAGUUCACGGCGAAGACGGAUCGCGGGAGCUCGUCCCGCCCGGGUUGCGCGCAGCGGUGGCCGCGUGAUGGAUGGGCCGGACCGGGCACCCGGGAACCCGCGAGCGCGGGGCUGGGCUCGGGGCUGGGUCGGGGGGCCCCGACUCGGUUAUUGAUCGGCCCGAGCGCAGGAGAACUGACUCUAUAAUGUAUAAUGCAUCGCCUGCCCGGGAAAAGUGUUUGCUUUUGUGGGAGCAAAAGGCAACUUUCUGCCCCGCCAGAGCGUUGCUAAGUGAGCGGUAAUGACCACGCUAGAACUUUCAUAGGGAGAGGCUAAUGGCAGGCUCACUCCAAAAGUGCUUUUAUGUGCAACUUCUGUCUAAUCCCUUGAGGAGGAAGAAAACAUCGGCGACUAAGAAAGUUCAAGUUGUGCAGGGCCUGGGCUUUUAGGGUCGGGGUCACUUCUGCUCUGCGUGACUUUGAAGAGGAGGACCAGUGGAUUUCCACACGUGUUUUAAAGAGAACUCCCGGCCUCUGAAAUGAAAGGCCCGCCUGUAGGGUUUUGCUGCCUCCCCGCUGCCCACGCCCCACCCCCACAGCCUGGAUCAAAGCGAGCAGACAAAUUAUUCAGAAGUAACACAGCCCUGAAAUGUUCCUAACCGUGACUAUUUGAGGCGAUGGAUCAAGCGUGCUUCCCCCGCCCCCAACCCACCCUCAGGCCGAAAAUGUGACUCUGGAAACGGACUUGCAGAGCUGGCUUCGGUUUCUGUACGUUUCUGACCCCUGUUGACUUUAGGACAAGGCUUCCUGUUUCCAGGACUGCAGCAUCGCCAGACAGCCUCGCCACGCAAUCGGCUUUGCAGUUGGACGUUCCAGAUAUGAUUUCAUUCCUUACCAAAGAUACUUCUUUAGGACAAUUUUAGGAUUCUAUCAACGCUAGCAAAGGAGCUACUUAAACACGUUGAUUUGUAUCGCUUUCCCUGACAAUGAAACAUUGAAGUGGAAUACUACUCAUCAAUAAAAAACUAUAAACUCCUGAUAUACUUCAUGAAUGGAUGGAUAGAUGGAUGGAUGGAUCUGAAAAACAUCAUGAUGAAUAGCCAUGAAGCCAGACAUGAAAGAGUACAUACAAUAUGGUUUCUUUUAUCUGAGGUUCUGGAACAGGAAGGAGAAGUGCAGAGAAAAGGGGCGGAAAACCCCUAUAAAACCAUCAGAUCUCAUGAGAACACACCACUAUCACCAGAAAAGCAUGAAGGCAACCACCUCUAUGAUUCAAUUACCUCUCAUCCGGUCCCUCCCGCCACAGGCUGCCACUACCAGGAGCAUGCUGGCCUGCCUGCGGGAGGAACAGAUGCCAGAGGAGACCUGAGUGUGUCCUCAAGGCCAUGCCCCAUCAGCCAUCCCAGCAGAGCCCACAGCCGCCUGCAGAGGAAUGAGGCCCCCCACCCAGGAUUGCCAGAACCACACAACUGACUCGCAACUGUGUGAGGAGUAAUGGACAAAAUUUUGAACUGUGAGCCUUUGGGCCUGGGGAGGUUUGUGAUGCAGCAGUAGCUCCCAGACCCUUGAAGCUCUUCCGCACGAAGGUGCUGAGCCGUGCACCUAGGCAAUGCCAGACUCUGCACUAGGCCCGCCGGGGUGUGCAGAGAGAGAGAGCUGAACAAACUGCGGUUCCACCCAGAAGACCCAGAAGAACAUUCACUGAGCAGCCAGUGCAAGAGCUAAGGUGAGAAACAAAUAUGAGGAUGCUCAGUGAAAAUGCUUUGAAGUCUGUGAAAUGUGAAGCAAAGGUGAAGCGCGAGGAAUAAUAAGGCUCUAAGGACUCACACUUGAGCAUUUGCUCUGAGCCGGCCCCUGUCCUCCACACUGAACCUACAGCCUCUCUUCUCACCUAAUCUGCACAAAAAUCUUAUGAAGCAGACACACUUACCAUGCUGGCCUUUCCGUGAAAUUUCAGGUCUUAGUGUCGCCCAUUACCAGUGGCAUUUCAUGCCACAAGUUAGGCCGUCUGCACCUCCAAGCACAGGGUCACAGAAGACUUAAUCCAGUCCCUUGGGCUGACUCAGUGGCUGGUUUGGGUGAACCCCUGUUGUCCCCUUGAGCAACUCGAGGGCAAUGGUUAUGGGUAGGGCUGAAAAAUCCGUCUGGCUGCAAACCUGGUACUGAUACAAACAAGGCCGAGACAGGCAUUAAGUGUUCUGUGUUUCCCAAAGAGAUCUUAAUGAAAUCCCAGCAUACCUCUCACUCCUACCCUUAAAAUACCUUGGGCGAGAGCAUGCUUUUGACCCCACCCCAGUCAUUUGGAUUGAGAAAUUCCAUUGAAGAUGCACAGCUUUCCUCCAGUGCAGGGGCUGGGUAUCCAAAUGCAGAGCCUUCUCCAGACUCUUUGGGCUUAGUCUGGCUUGGUAGGCUCAGGAGGGAGUCAAGAUUAUUUCAUCCUUUAUGUCUGUUCGAUGACAGUUUAUCAUCAUUGCCACCUCAUCCUCUAUUGUAGCCAAACCUCACAACCAGUACCACGUGAACUUCGUCACCGAUGCCACGUUCUUUUUCUCGGCUGUCACUAAGCUCAGGUCAGGAUGGCCCUCCCAGCUGACUUCCCUGAUACUUUCUGUAUCUCCUUUUCAGUCUGCCCUAAAAUGACAGCUGGACUUCCAACAGUGGUUUCUUCUGUGGGACACAUGGCUCUUAUACUCUGGGCGGCACUGAUUCCUUUAUUACCAGUGGCUUGAUUUUCCCGGAUCUAUCUCCAUGCAGACAGUGUGAGGUUGGACUUCAUGCCUCACGUUCCUGGUUGGGGCUCGGAGAUCUACCCCAGCUUGCUGCUGUGCCGCCCCCAGUUUACUCAAUGCCCAGCCUGCAGCUCCUAAGUUGAACCUGCACACUGCACGCUCACCUGGUCUGUGCUUCCAGCUGCAUUGGAAAUGGAAGCAUUAAACACAGUUCUCCACUGCCAGCCACCUGCUAGCUAAUGAGUGACAUCAUUUAACGCUGUUUUGAAAAGAGAGAUUUAAAGUUGUUUUGAAAACUGAAGGAAAAAUACAAAUGUUUGAGUGUUAAACAUUUUGCCCAAAUACUAAAAUGUGAAUGUCUUUUUAUUGUGACAGUUCUACAGGAAAGCGGGCUACAGCAUGCCUGUGCUUGUCAAUGAAAAUCUUAGCACUGAGUUUGGUAAACAUUAUGGCAGUCAGGAAGCCACUUAAAAAUAAAGUUUAAAGAAAAGAAAGAGAAGUAUUCACUUUCCUUCUAAUUUCCCCAGAUACACUCAAUAUUCUGCUUUAUUUUUUAGUAUUUUAACUAAAAUAAGAAAACUCGGAUUCGACUUCUAUGUGUUCUAUGAUUGUUGUUGUUUUCUCUGACUAUAAAAUACAUGUUUGCAGCAGAAAACUUGGCAAAACAGAGAUAUGAAGAAUAAAACAAAAAUCACCUAUAGUUCUAAGCCAUGGGAAUAAUCCUAUAUAUAUUUCCGAGGUAUUCUGAAGCAUGUGUAUUAUAGUCCAAAUAUUUAAAAACAAAAUUUGGAUAAUACUUUAGAUAGAGAGUUGUAUUCUGAUUUCUUCUAUUAAUAUUAUAACUUUCAAACGAGGGACUUACAUGGCUUUUAUUUUUCUUUACUAUGUAAGUACUUACGUUCUUUAUGAGAAAAAUAAAAAAUAUAGAAAAGAAAGAUAAGAAAAUAAAAUCAGUAAUAAUCCCCUCACUUAGAAAUGACUGCUGUUAACAUUUUAGUUUUUUGGUUUCUACCUAUUUAUAUUCAAUUUGAAUGAAAACAGUAUAAUUUCACUGUGUCUAUAUUGCUUGGUAACAUAAUGAUUCAACUGUAUAAUAAAUAGUAUAUUACAUGAAUGUUUUGAGUAAUAGUCUGUGUGAUAAUUUUUAUUAGGUGUAUGGUGUUCCACUACAUAAA